GCUAGCAUUAAUAACAUUCAAAGAUUACAAAAUAUUUAUACUCUGUAACUAUAGAAAUAUUAGUCCCUUGAAAAAUACCUUCAUUUAUAAAAUAUUUUUGCUACUAGUAUCAGACAUGGGGACUCUGCAGUAAUUGGGAACUUAGGAAAUUAGUUAUUUAUGUAGAAAUUCCCCCUCAUAAAUUUUGGCUGCCUUCACUGAAGGCUAUCAUCAAAAGUGCUAUCAAUUUUCGCCUCUCCUUCAUUCCCAUGCUGUCUUGCAAAAACAAAGGGAGAAAGAAAAAAUAAAAAGUAAAUGACUCUUCCAGAAAUUCACACUCAAAAUUAAAAUGAGAACGUUUAGAGCCCAAAUAAUUCAUCCUUCCCCCACAAAAAAAAAAAAAAAAAACCAAAAAUUGGAAAUGAUUAUUGUUACACAUAAAAAACACAGAUCUAAUUUCCGAUAUAUUUGCUGGAACAUAGCGGGUCUUUAAGAGAGUGAAAAUAAAUAGUAUGUGUAUAGCACUACAGCCUCUGGAGCAACAUCAUUGGUGGCUUUGCUCUGGUCACAAUGGAGUGGCAGGAUUAGGAGGCCAAAACUUAAGAAGAAAAGCUCCAAAUUAUGUAUAUUUUAAAAGGAAAGCAUCACAAUGUUUGGCAUUCGGAUGUUUUCUCCACUUGUUAACAGGCUGAAUUAGAAAAGUCCAAGAGUAAGUGAAAAUCUGCACUUUGUAAAUAUUGGAAAAUUAGAGUGUCUGAACUACCUAAGAAAAUAUUGUCCCACAA
rnacentral:lncRNA from 12 species